rnacentral:rRNA from 1 species
UGGGGAAUAUUGCGCAAUGGGCGAAAGCCUGACGCAGCGACGCCGCGUGAGGGAUGAAGGUUUUCGGAUCGUAAACUUCUGUCAGAAGGGAAGAAACCGCACUGUGCUAAUCAGCAGUGCCUUGACGGUACCUUCAAAGGAAGCACUGGCUAACUCCGUGCCAGCAGCCGCGGUAAUACGGAUGGUGCAAGCGUUAAUCGGAAUUACUGGGCGUAAAGCGCACGUAGGCUGCUUUGUAAGUCAGGGGUGAAAUCCCACGGCUCAACCGUUGAACUGCCUUUGAUACUGCUUAGCUUCAAUCCGGGAGAGGGUGGCGGAAUUCCAGGUGUAGGAGUAAAAUCCGUAGAUAUCUGGAGGAACAUCAGUGGCAAAGGCGGCCACCUGGAACGGUAUUGACGCUGAGGUGCGAAAGCGUGGGGAGCAAACAGG